rnacentral:rRNA from 1 species
AUUGAACGCUGGCGGCAUGCCUUACACAUGCAAGUCGAACGGUAACGGGCCUUCGGGUGCCGACGAGUGGCGAACGGGUGAGUAAUACAUCGGAACGUGCCCGAUCGUGGGGGAUAACGAGGCGAAAGCUUUGCUAAUACCGCAUACGAUCUACGGAUGAAAGCAGGGGACCGCAAGGCCUUGCGCGGACGGAGCGGCCGAUGGCAGAUUAGGUAGUUGGUGGGAUAAAAGCUUACCAAGCCGAAGAUCUGUAGCUGGUCUGAGAGGAUGAUCAGCCACACUGGGACUGAGACACGGCCCAGACUCCUACGGGAGGCAGCAGUGGGGAAUUUUGGACAAUGGGCGCAAGCCUGAUCCAGCCAUGCCGCGUGCAGGAUGAAGGCCUUCGGGUUGUAAACUGCUUUUGUACGGAACGAAAAGCCUUCUUUUAAUACAGGAGGGUCAUGACGGUACCGUAAGAAUAAGCACCGGCUAACUACGUG